rnacentral:lncRNA from 1 species
GGGAGGGAGGGCUAUGCUAAUGUUGUUGAUAUCCUGGGGCCACCCGAGUUAAAGGGGGGAAAUCCGGGGGCUGCUGCAGCCGCCACCGGUCUGGGCCCAGCCGGGGGCCCCCUGUAGUCGCCGCAGUCCCGGGGAGAGGCACCUGCCCCCAGCCCGGGGAGGGGGCGCCGCGGGCUCGGGGAGCACGGACAACCCCUACCCAUGAGGCCCUGAUGGAAAACACAAAGGAUCUGAGUCGGAAGAGACGUUAGAGGUCAUCCAAAGCAGCCGUCCCCUCUGCAGCCUCUCUGACAAGUGCUUUCCAGGUUCGUACUUAAGGAUUCAUAGCUUUCUUCGGAAGAACUGAAAGCCUAUUCAUGUGAAUUUUUUUAUUUUAUCAUACAUCCUUCCUG